GGGGCGCGGCGCGGCGGCGGCGGGCGGCGGCGGCGGGCGGCGGCGGCGGCCCCGGCGGCGGCCCCGGCGGCGGCGGCGGCCCCGGGCCUCCCUGCCGCCUUGGUAGCGCCGGUCCGCACUCGGCCUGACCCGGGACGUCACGCCGCCUGUCUGUUUUCUCAAUGAUAACUUGGCAGGAGAAGGGGGAAGCGGCCGGGUUUUUCCUGGGCUCGUGACCGGGGUGACAUUCAGUGCCAAGCGAGCCUCUCCGGUCGCCGCCAAGUCCCACCUGGAGGGGGAAAACCCGGGGGUGGGGGGAGGCGCCGGUGCCACCCGCAGCCGGCGCCGAUGCAGGGCAGGCGGGUCCUGCGGCGGCCGGCGGGACCCCGGGCCCAGCCCCCACGCGCGGGGACACCGCGCGCGGGGCCACGCGCGCCGGCCGCCCGCAGCGAGCCAUCUCCCGGGCCGGCACGGGAAGGCGCCCGGAUCGCGAGACGAGGCCGCGCCGCGGAGUCCCGCUGCUGCCGCCGCCGCCGCGCACCGCGGGCCUAGGCCUCGCGCCGGCUUGCUGCUCUCCCCCGCUCCGAAAUUUGCUUUAAAGCCUCUCAGGAGCAGGCCGGGGCGGGGGGGGGCUCUGCUGGGGAGUGCAUAUGGCGCCAAGUUAAAAUCGGGGUGCGCUCCUGGACUGCACACCGCAGGGCUGGAGGGAAAUACAGCAGGACUCGAAAAAUUUGCCAGCACAAUGGCGUCUCUCAAAAAGAAAUCCAAAAGACCGGCACAAACCGAAGCAGGGUUUAAUCACGUAUUUUUAAAUCCUCUCCCGCUGCCUCUGCUGCUAGGAUUCCACGGCACCCAUUUCUGAAGACAAACCGUUUUAUGGCAAAAAAAGGAGCUUAAGCCUGUAGUUACCGCUGAGGUCAAUCUGACCACAGUGCAUAAUGUCUGAAUAUUGCUAUGAGUGGUGAUAGUGUCUUCAAGGUGUGACGAGACACCUUCGUUUUCUUUUAGUGAUGCUCGUGCUUCUAAAAUGCAAAGCCUGUAAGAAUACGCGAUAGGGUCUACUGAAUGCAGCGGGCCUUUCACACGUGUGCAUUUACUCACGCAAGAGCAUUUUCAGAACUAGGCCCAAUUUAAAAAGAAACCACCCGUGGCAGCUUAGACUUCUGUACCUUUUAGCUAAAGAGAAGUUGUUAGAUGUGUACUUUGAACACCCUGAACUGUUAAUACAGCGUAACACCUGCACAUUAACCUUAGGGAGCUCCGCGAAUGCACAAGGUCAAAUUUACCUGUUCCGUGUUGCAUAUCCUAUUACCUAUUUUUAUACCAAGUCACGCUAUUCCGGAUACACGCACAAACAGUGUGGCAGAGUUCAUAAAGGACGUAUGCUGGUAGCAGGGCUGAAACAAAACCGUUUUUGCAACUGCAUCUCUUUCAUUUCUGCUCUUUGAGAUAUCAGCUGUGCAUCUUUAAUAUUAGCAUUAUGAGUAUUAGCAAUAUUAGUAUUAUUAAUACUUUCAUUUCAUUUUCCUGAUUUAAAUAUAGUGAAAGGGCAAACUGCCUUUGCUUAAUACUGUUACUAAUCAGGUUUUGCCAUUCCAGUUUUUUUAAGAAGAGGAAGUCAGGGAGAAGUAAAUUUACACCAGUGCUCUGGAACAGCAUCUUAUUUUAAAUGGAGAGAAAUGGCUUUUUUCAUGGAAUUGUGAUCAUCGUACACAGCAAUAACAAGAAAAUCAAAAGAUAAGUAAUAAACAUUUAUAUGGUAGUCAAGACAAAGUAGAACCAAUGUGAAAUCUUCAGCAAUGAAACCCUACAAUCAUAUUAAUACGUAUUUCAGCAUUCGAGCCAUGUGGAUUACUACUUGACUUUCAGACAAAAAGACACAGUUUCAGGCAUUUCCACUAAAACAAAGACACCCACUGCAGAGGACCGUCUUUUCUAUUUUGGGCUAGACUAUCACAGCCUUGAGUAGGCUGUAAAGGGGAUCAGGCCUUCUGCAUGUUACUCCUCUGCCCAGAUUGCAGCUCCGUCCAAGAGAAAGACAGGGAUGAAGGACAGACACCAGUCACCGGGCAUUGCCCUAUUGCACAAAAGCAAUCGGCAGAAGACCGAAGUGGAGCCGGGGCGGCAGGAAGGAGCUCUACCUCCGUCCAAGGACGGAAGGUUGCGUAGCUGCACCACUUCCUUGGACCUGGCUUCUACGAGAAAAAGCAGGGAGUAACUAACUUUUGGGAACUGUGUUCCUUGCAGUCUGUGCCUCUGUAUCGCCAUUUGCCUUGUGGUCUGCUCUGCUGAUGAGAUAGACCAUAAAUUUUCAGUCUAGUGUUUAAAUAUGUUAGUGUUUAUGUCCAUCAGCACAGUAUAAAGCAUAUGUAAAACAUUACGGGACAUGUUCUCGAAGUUUCCUUUGGACUGAAGCCUGUUUUCAUUUUAGUUAUGGGAGAAUUAAAGAAAUCUCAGGGAGCCUGAUAUUACUAAUUCUGAUAUCAAACCAAUUUUUUCCAUCUGACCAACCCCACUCUUUAUACAAGCUUCUGCAAAUUUAGUCGUGUCCAAUGUUUUCUCUAUUCACUUAUUUCAACAAAGGUAAUUUUACUUACAGCAAUUUUUUUGCACUGUACUAUGGUAUACCAUGGCACAAUUCAUUACAUUAGAGCAAUUUUACUGGUUAGAAGACUUCACCGUGAUGUUUUCUACCAAAUUUCUUCUGAGAAAUAAAGCCACUGGCUCAAAAUCUGAUUCAAGACUUCCCAAAGCUAUCCUGAGAAGUCCUGCGAGUGCUAUAUUGGUCCCCUAAAUUUAUCGUGCUUGCUAUCAGGAAAAGGAGCAUUAUCAAAGUAGCAGGCUGCUCAGGAGGAUGGAAAGCAAAGGGAGAGGGGAGCAAUUUAUCUUUGGCCUGCCAUUUCGGGGUGAUAGAAAGAUCCCUGCCUAACGGCGGAUCCUGGCAUACAACCUGAACAGCCACAGUCUCGGCUCUUGCUCUGGGUCUUUGGAAGCUGCAUAUUCAGCUGAGACUAUGGAAAAAAACAAGAAGGAAAACCAAGGUCUUUUUCACAACGAACAAUCAAUUUUUUAAAAACUGCCGAUAUAAAACCGUAUUCCUAAUCUUCAGCUGUUACAGCCAGAUGCACAGUUGGAUACAGAACUUUGCCUGAAACCAUUUAUUUUUUUAAUGCCUCUUUUGUAUGAAAAAUGACUCUUUGAAGAGAUCAGUGUUUACCAUUGUAUUAAUUUCUAGUUGUUAAAGGACCGUUGCUCUACACCCCUACCUGUGCAGAUAGGAUGCCACAUUACUAAGUUACCAUUUCAGUAUACUAUCCAGAGUUAGAACAUCCAAAAACAGACUGUUUCUUCCUUCCCAGCAGUAUAGGUUGCUUCUUGGGCCAAUUCUUUAGCUACAAGACCAAGGAAAAUGGCCCUUCAUCAUCUCCCUCCCCAGUCUCAUUUGUCUCUUGCCUUUACACUGCUACAGUGAUGUACAUCACUGGAUGCUAGGUUUCUUACCCAAGGCCUCAGUGCAACAAAUGACUAUACAAGAGAAAUUCCAACUGUUUUCAAGUAAUUCUGCUGUUACACAUGUAAAUACAGGAGUUAGCAUUGAGGAAAGUGUUUCUUCUCAUCCUCAUGCAGGUGACCAUAAAGUACAAGCUUUACAGAUGUGUACUGAAUGAAAUAUUGUCAUUGCCUAAAGCAGUGUCACAAAACUCUUGAGAAAAUAGCUGGACCAAGGUGUUAGUAGUCUGUGAUGGCAUCAGAAAAUGCAUUUGCUUUGGUCCGUACACAUUGUGGCACCACAAGUUAUGUGACCUGCUUGCUAUUCCUACAUCAAUCACCAGCUUAUCAUUAGGAUCUUGGGCUUUGGAGAGUCACUUCUUUCUGUGCCUCAGUUCCCUUAUAUGAAAAUAAGGCUUACGGCUUCAAUAUCUCUCAGAUCAAUGGACAAAAUUUACUAUUGAAAUGUUAAAUACUAUAAUCACUCACAGGUUUGCCAUGCCUGUUUUAUCUAAAUAUUUUAAGCUAUAAUAUCGAAAUACACUGUUCAUAAAAGUCAGGCACGGUAGCAGAAGUUCCAAACAGUGGAAUAUGAAUCUUAGCAAUGUCACUGAACGUGACAUCAAAGCUACAGAUCAAAUAAAAUGUAACUGUGGCUCUAAGGACGUUAACACACUAAUGACAAGUGAUUUGGUCUGCACCCGCUACUAGCCUUGGAAAGAUCUAUGCUAGUCCCCUCACAAUUCCCCAGUGCCUCUCUUCUUCCACUGAGUAUUUUUUUCUGUGAAUCUUGUUUGCUACAAAAAAGCAAAAGGCAACAUUUAAAGGUUUAAUUGAUUGUAUGCUUUUCUCUAAUUUUUGAUUUUGAUAUAUUGAUGAAAAUUUAUUUACUAGAAAAUGGGGGUAUGGCUUGAGAAGUAAUUCAAUCAGCGACUGGUCAUUCUUACUUAUAUGGGUCCACUGUUGGUAAUCCUUCCUUACAUGGAUGAAGUUGUGCUUGAAGAAGGUGGGAUGCUACAGUUGCAACAAUUCCUUCAUUCUACCAAGAAAGACAAAUUAAGAUCCAUAAAGUUCCUCUUUUAUGUGGCACUUCCUCUAAAAGGAGUUUUGCUUCUGAGUAAUUUUUGCUCUUGCUGUGAUCUGUCAGUUAUUCCUUUGAACAGAGGUUAUUACAGACUAGAAAAAAAAACCCAAAAUAUUAACUCUUCUACUGAGUGUAUUAGAGAAUUAGAAGUAUAAACUCCAUUUAGUUCUAUUUUUUCCCUGAAUUCCCCCCCAUACCACUACCGUGUACGUAUACAGCUGCAAAAUGUUUUUUUCCAUCCGUCAGUGGAAACUCUCACUGGAUUGCUAUCUUUUUGCCAUAUGUAAAAAAAAACAAAAAAACACACAAUCAUGUUAAAAAGAUUUAACACUUUCAACGGAUACAAAGAGCUCUCGCAUGAAGAGCUCUAAGUGUCUUACAGAUGCUGAUGAGCCAUUUUCCUGUAUCCCACUAAAAUACUUAUUACUUUCAGUGUUUUUGUGAGUGGACAAGAUGGUCUGGUAGGGGGCAAGAAAAUGAUUCAAAGAAAAUCACUGACCCAGAUUAGAAACAAGAUUUGCUAAUUUAUAGUCCAAUAGCCAGCACCAUUUUAAUUCCUCAUUUACAUUUUUGGAUAUACAUUUUCUAUGUUAAAUUGCAAGCAUAUUUUAGAUACCUUGUUCUUUUUUUUUCUUCACAAAAAAAAAGAAGAAUGUUUAAAAAAUGUCAAAGAGUGAUAUAACUUGUUCAGAAAAUGUUGACUGAUAAGUGUAUGAAUAUGCAUGGGAUUAUCUAGUUCAGUUCUGUUUUCACCUACUUAAACAUUUUCUUCCAGUUAGGAAAAUGUUCACGUUCCUCGCUCAUUUUAACGGUCAUUGUUAAUGGGCGCUAAACUUAGUGACAUUUCAUUAGCAGCUUCCCAAGACUGGCACCAAUGUAAUGACUUGUAUUCAAUAAAAGUAAAAAUCAUUGUUAUCCAGCAUUUGUAUAAGGCUUGAAAUAAUUAAACACUAACAUCAAAUUUACCACUCCUGAGUAUAACUAUUUCUAUAAAGGGGAAAAAGGAGGGAAGGGAGAAGGGCAAACCUCCUAUUAAAUGACGAGGAAUAUAACAAUAUUAAAUAGAAGCCUAAGAAAAAAUAAGGCCUGGAACCAGAGCUUUCAACAAAGAUUACGUAACUCGUGUUUAUUGCUGCACAACAAAACCGAAAGGUUUGCUGGGAACUCUGAGUAUUUCCACAAUCCAGACCAGGAGAGGAAGCUAUUCAAAGUCACGAGAGCUGUGGUAUUAACCGCAAUGGAAACAGAACUGAGCCUUCAUACUAAUCGGUUAUUUAGGACGAACUUGUAUUGAUUUAUCACCCUCCCCCUGCCCUGUGCUCAAAGCCAGAGCCAUUCAUACAUUCCUGAUGUACAGUCCAAAAACAAGCACAGGCAAUAAAGCACUGUUCUUGCACGUAUGUUAAGGGAAGGGGAUUGUGUGUAGCACACCAGCACUAUAUCUCAGGGCCACGAGUCACAGAGAAAGACUCAUUUUUAUAAUUUGAAUAGGAAUUUGUUACAGAACACUAAUAUGGGGAAUCCAUUUCUUAGUUUAUUAUCCCUACUGUUUUCAUUAGAAAUAAGACAACAAAUUUUGAAGCAGAUGAGACAUUUACAUAUAAACAUUUACCAUUAUCACUGGUAUUUGUUGUAAUGUAAAUGUAUUUACUACAUUCAGUCUACAGCAAGAGUGUAUACAUGCAUGAUGAAAUGAGCUCCGGGUCUCCUCAUACAUGACAUAGCAGGAGGGGAAAAAAAUAAGUUGGUAUUUAUGCAGCUUUUGAAUCUUAGCCAACAUAUGCCACUAUUUACUGUCGUUAGUGGUAAUUUUACACAUGUAGUAAGCACACAGGGCCCUUGUAACACUUGAAAGCUUGAGAUUUGCAUUAUUUUGAAGACUCUUUUAGUUUUAUUGAGUAUAUUCCAAUAGAAUUAAAGGGGGACAUUUAAAAGAAAAAAAAAUCUUUUAAUAUUGUUAAGACUAAGAUAAACUAAUAAAAGAAAAGAAAUACAAUAUUAAAGUUGUUAACUGUCCAUUCUCAGAAUAACUCAUACAAUUAUAUGCUCUCCUUUCCUUUCAUGCAAGAUCUAAUUUUCUGCAGGGAUGUAUCAAGGGGACCACUACUGUACAUUUUUCUAAAGUUAUCAUGCCAUCAUUUGCUAAAUAUAUUACGACAUACUGUUUACCUUUGUUGUAAGGUUGGCAGUUUUCUAUUUAAGAACUGUAUAAAUAAAUGAGUGUAUUUAUUCACACCUA